AACGCACCUUGCACCUUUUGGUUAUUCCAAAAGGUACGCCUGUUUGAGUGUCAUGAAAACCUCUCAUUCCAAUUCUUUAUUUAAUUAUAUUGGGUUGUGAUAUGGAUGUUGAGUGCUGCCGUAAUUUGGCUCACUUUAAAUUUAUAAGUACUUUUAUUGAAGAAAUAAAUGGAUAUUUACUCAGUGUAAUAUUUACUAUUCAUUGAGGAGUGUAGUCAUUUUUCUUGACGACAGCCAUUUGAACAUUUAAUAAAUAGCUUCCUAACCCUAUUAUAUCAAAUUUUUAGACCUCAAAUCAGGUGGGACUACCCGCUGAACUUAA
rnacentral:misc_RNA from 2 species